GAAGGAGCUUGUUCCAAAAGCACAGCCUUUGCCCUAUUUCGAUCGGCCCUUCAUUCCCAGAAGGUCGAUGAAGCAUCCAACUGUGCCCAGAGAACCAAAAUUUCACAUACCUCAACAUAAGAAGAUCAAAUGCUGUCUAUCUUGGAACGACCUCAACACUUUCGCUUACCAACAAUGAGGCAACAUAGGGAAGAUAAGAAUAGAAGCAUUUCGGGCAUUAUCAUUCCUCAUCAAAUCACUAAAUAACUUAAAUCAUAAUUCUUUUUCCCUUUCCCCCUUCAAUAUUCUUUUCAAAAAUUUGUACAUGAAGCAACCUAUUUAGUUGCCAUUUUUGAGACUUUUGGUUUGUUUUUCAAGUACAGUGAAAUUAAUGAAAAUCCUGCUGGGUUAUGUCUCUUCAUUUUCAUUCUCCAUAUCUUCAUGUUCUGAGGAUAGAGAUGAAUUGUUGUUCAUAGACUAAAAUGAAUUGGACUGCAGAAUAAAG
rnacentral:misc_RNA from 1 species